rnacentral:lncRNA from 1 species
GAGCAUUCCAAAGCAGUAUAUUGGUUCCAAUUAGAGUUUACCUUUUUUGUAUUAAUAUAUUGCUAUUUCUAAAUACCACUUUCCUUCCCUACCAGUGAAAUUGCUAGCAUUGAACUGUAUUAUGUGUUUUUUGUUGAUUCAGUAAAAAAAAAGAAAAAGAAAAAGUUUCCAGUUUGUUUCUAUUUUACAAAUGCUAGAUAUCUCUCUGGGAGGCAACAUGAAUGGAAUCAACUGACCAGAGAUGAGCAGUUCGAAAAAUGCAGAAUAAACACGUGUUGCCUUAAAGGGUUAUCUAGUAUCCUUCAUCUUCUUUAGCAGUGGAGCAGUAGUCAAGAGGCAAUGAAUCAGUAACUGGUCCUGGCUGCUCAUCGGGAAGUGCAUGGAAGAGCAUUGAAUACUUGUCUAAUGGUUUGGUUUGGAAAUUAAGGUGCACACCAUUAGUAUAAUGAGAUUUUCUUCUGAGGUGUGCUGCCCAUUCUAGUGGGGUCUAAGAAGCAGACAGUUGAUAUGUGUUUAUACUGUAUGUCAGCUGUCAGGGGCGCCCACAGCCUUCGUAUGACAUCUGGCAUAACUUGUGAAGCAUUUAUUGUAUGGAAGGCACAGUCUUCUUUAUACUUUCUGCACAUUCAGUGUAUUGGUCCUUUAAAUUAUUUCAGUUUUAACUUGUGAAAGCUUAUAAUAUGAUUUCUGGUAUUUUAGAAAUACAUUAGAUUCUGUGAGUCUCAUUCUUUAAGAUACAGAUGUGUGAACUUCAAUAUAAAGUUGCAUUUGCCAAAAU